AAACUAACAAGGAUUCCCCUAGUAACUGCGAGUGAAGCGGGAAAAGCUCAAAUUUAAAAUCUGGCGGCUUUGGUCGUCCGAGUUGUAUUCUAGAGAAGUGUUUUCCGCGUUGGACCGUGUAUAAGUCUCUUGGAAUAGAGCGUCAUAGAGGGUGAGAAUCCCGUCUUUGACACGGACUACCAAUGCUUUGUGAUACACUCUCAAAGAGUCGAGUUGUUUGGGAAUGCAGCUCAAAAUGGGUGGUAAAUUCCAUCUAAAGCUAAAUAUUGGCGAGAGACCGAUAGCGAACAAGUACCGUGAGGGAAAGAUGAAAAGCACUUUGGAAAGAGAGUUAAACAGUACGUGAAAUUGCUGAAAGGGAAACGCUUGAAGUCAGUCGCGUUAGCUAGAACUCAACCAGGCUUGCUUGGUGUAUUUUCUAGUUAACGGGCCAGCAUCAGUUUUGACCGCAGGAAAAGGGCCAGGGAAAUGUGGCAUCUUCGGAUGUGUUAUAGUCUCUGGUCGUAUACUGUGAUUGGGACUGAGGACCGCAGCACGCGCAAGCUGUGCUUAGGAUGCUGGCGUAAUGGCUUUAAACGACC
rnacentral:rRNA from 1 species